GGCGGGAUAGCUCAGCUGGUCAGAGCGCACGGCUCAUAAUCGUGAGGUCGAGGGUUCGAUCCCCUCUCCCGCUA
rnacentral:tRNA from 1 species